GAGCAUAUCCGUAGACCUUGUCUGACUAUUCAUGGCAGGCCAGGGGGAACAGUGUAUGCAAGAUUAAUAGGAGUUUAUGAGUUCUAAGCUUUUUAAAUCAGUAACUGGGUAGUUUGUAAUACUCCAACAAUC